rnacentral:miRNA from 1 species
CGGGAUUUGAUUGAUCAGUUC